AACACUGUAUACUAAUACUACUCGUAAAUGUGACAGCUGGGUCUACGACAUGGAGCAGUUCGGUUCAACUAUUGUUACGAAGUUUGGAUGGGUAUGCGACGUGAAGAUGGCGAAGUCUCAUGCUCAGAUGCUGUUUAUGCUGGGUUUCCUACUGGGCAGUGUGGUGUUGGUUGCGCCAUCAGAUUUCACUGGAAGGAAGAAGAUGUUC